UGGUAGUUGGUUAUGUUAAAAGACUAACCAAGCCUUAGAUGCUUAGCAGGCUUUAACGAGUGAUCUGCCACAACGGGCUUGAAAUAGUGCCUGAACAUUUAUGGCAGCAAGUAAAGAAUCUUGGGCAAUGCAUUCAAGUGUGACCCAGCAAGUCUCCGUGGAUGAUGAAGAUAUUAAAUUAUAUUGUAAAAUUCUAUCUUUUUAUAUUUAUAAUGAAUUAUAAAAAGGAAAGCACAGGCUAAAUUCGUGCCAGCAGCCGCGGUAAUACGGAUUGUGCAAGUCUUUGACCUCGUGACUAGGUGUAAAAGGCCACAUAGGAGGUUAUAAAAGUUAUUGAGUAAAUACAGGGUAUAAACCUUGGAAUCUUAAUAAAAACUUUAUAACUAGAAUAUAAUAGGGGGUUUAAGAUAUCUUCUAAGUAAAGGUGAA
rnacentral:rRNA from 1 species